rnacentral:rRNA from 1 species
GGGAAUAUUGGACAAUGGAGGAAACUCUGAUCCAGUGACGCCGCGUGAAGGAAGAAGGUCUUCGGAUUGUAAACUUAUUUUGUCAGGGAAGAAAAAAAUGACUGUACCUGAAGAAAAAGCACCGGCUAACUACGUGCCAGCAGCCGCGGUAAUACGUAGGGUGCAAGCGUUAUCCGGAUUUAUUGGGUUUAAAGGGUGCGUAGGCGGAUUCUUAAGUCAGCGGUAAAAUGUCCGGGCUCAACCCGGGCCGGCCGUUGAAACUGGGGGUCUUGAGUGGGCGAGAAGUAUGCGGAAUGCGUGGUGUAGCGGUGAAAUGCAUAGAUAUCACGCAGAACUCCGAUUGCGAAGGCAGCAUACCGGCGCCCGACUGACGCUGAGGCACGAAAGCGUGGGGAUCGAACAG